CCUGUGAGCACCAUGGGCACAGGGAGGGAGCAGCUAUUUCUACACUCAGUGCUCUGAACAGUGGGUGCUAAGAAUGGUUUGUCGCUGGACAUU